CCUACGGGAGGCUGCAGUGGGGAAUAUUGGACAAUGGGCGAAAGCCUGAUCCAGCCAUGCCGCGUGUGUGAAGAAGGCCUUCGGGUUGUAAAGCACUUUCAGUGGGGAAGAAAGCCUUGGGGCUAAUACCCUCGAGGAAGGACAUCACCCACAGAAGAAGCACCGGCUAACUCCGUGCCAGCAGCCGCGGUAAUACGGAGGGUGCGAGCGUUAAUCGGAAUUACUGGGCGUAAAGCGCGCGUAGGCGGUCUGAUAAGCCGGUUGUGAAAGCCCCGGGCUCAACCUGGGAACGGCAUCCGGAACUGUCUGGCUAGAGUGCAGUAGAGGAAGGUAGAAUUCCCUGUGUAGCGGUGAAAUGCGUAGAGAUCGGGAGGAAUACCAGUGGCGAAGGCGACCUUCUAGACUAACACUGACGCUGAGGUGCGAAAGCGUGGGUAGCAAACAGGAUUAGAUACCCUUGUAGUC
rnacentral:rRNA from 1 species